GGCUGCGCUCAGUGAGGAUUGAGCAGCCCUGUGGAGAGGCAGACCGGGUAAGGAACUAAGGCCACUCGCCAACAGCCAGUGCCAGUGUGCCAGGCAUGUGAGUGAGCCACCUUGACAGCAGGUCCCCCAGCCCCAGUGUCUACAGCAUCCUUCACUCUCCCCCCACCAGCUCCUAUUGGUCCUUCAGAUUGUCUCACUUCAUGUGCCACUGCUUCCAGGAAGCUUUCCUGAAUGCUCCCAACUGGAGUCAGCCUCCCUGACAGAUGGAGAAUUCCUCAAGAGCAGGACCGUGUCUGUGUUCCCAGCACCUCCCCAUGCCUGGCACUUCGAGGAUGCUCCGUUACUAUUUGUUGAGAGAAUGGAUAAUUGAAUAAAGAAUGCUACCACCUAAGCUGCAGAGCCGUUUGCUGGAAGAAGUGAGGCCAGGAACUGGAAAGCCAGAGAGUUUGGGACACCUGUGCCAGGUGUCUGUCACCGUGCAGCGAGCGUGUCUGAGCACCUGGCAGCUUCCCUCCUUCCCCAGCCGGUCACUCACGGCCCACCUGCAGGACGGGUCCAGGAGCAGGCGGAGCCUCCUGGUGGCCCCACUUUUGCCUCCUCCCCUGCAGUAGAUGCUUCGUUACCAGAAGGCGAAGGUCAGAGUCUGGCCACGGGCCCAGCAUUUCUGGCCCAGUUUUGCCGCAGGAAGCCAACUGUGCAGAAGGUCAGGAUGCUGGUGGGGUCAGAGUGGGAAAGUUAACAUUCCCAAGGGCCUCUAUGCAACAGGACUUCCUGACGUGGACUAUUGCCUUUCUCACAUUACGUGGCCAGAUUGACUUCCUGCCAUUAUUAACUGUGCAAACAUGACAAAGACGUUUAUUUAAUGGGAACGGGCGAAGGACUUUGCUCGACUCUGAGCUUUGAGGAGGCGGUAGGAUCAUGGAAUUAACCACAGCUGAGAGCUGGGAUUCCAGUCCGGGCUCUACCUGCCUUUGCCAUCUGCUAGAACAUGUAACUUCAUGUCUCAACCUCAGUUUCCUUUUCUGUAACAAGUGGGGAAGAAGGGUGGUAAGAAAUGUUGAGUCAGAACUCAGAGUUGCUGGGUGGGUGAAGUGAGGUCAUUAAUGUGGGAAACGUUUUGCGAACUGGAAAGUGCCAUCUGAGUUUUCAUCAUCAGUUUUGAUCUCCUCCUCCAACAAUCUAGCAUCUCAGCCCGCUUUUCCCAGCUGAGAAGGCCUCUGUGGCUCCAGGAGAAGGUGCCCUCUCCCCAGCUGAGGCUGGCUGCUGGCAGGCAGGCCACCAGCCUUCUGCAGUCACCU